AGCUCCAAUAGCGUAUAUUUUAGUUGUUGCAGUUAAAAAGCUCGUAGUAGAAUUUCUGGUGGGGGAAUGCAGUUCAAGCUAUGCUUGAUACUCGCACUCUCCGGCCAUCUUUGCGUGGAGCCUGUCUGGCAUUAAGUUGUCGGGCUGGGGAUGCUCAUCGUUUACUGUGAAAAAAUUAGAGUGUUCAAAGCAGACUUAUGUCGUUGAAUAUAUUAGCAUGGGAUAAUAAGAUAAGACUUCGGUACUAUUUUGUUGGUUAGGUGCCGUUGUAAUGAUGAACAGGGACAGUUGGGGGUAUUCGUAUUCACUUGUAAGAGGUGAAAUUCUUAGAUUAAGGGAAGACGAACUACUGCGAAAGCAUUUACCAAGGAUGUUUUCA
rnacentral:rRNA from 1 species